CAGAGCUUGGAUAUGAACUGUUUACCUGGUUGCUGGGAACAGCAAUCACGUGAGGGCAUGUGUGUGUGUGUGUGUGUGUGUGUGUGUGUGUGUGUGUUCCACCUGUCCUCCCUUGCUCCUCCUGAGGUAGCUGGUCCUGUGCCCAACUUUGAUUCAUUUCUAGUGAAAAACAACCUGACCUGAAGAUAGGAAUUCACUCCAGCAAGAUCAUCAGGUAUGAUAAUGUGGACCUCUCAGAGUUCAUGUUAACUGGUGACUUAAUUGCACUCAAGAGUCCUUAUGUGUGAGAAACAGGAGUCUAUCAUGGUUGUCCUCUGAGAGGCUCCACCCAGCAGCUGACUCAGACAGAUGCAGACACCCACAGCCAAACAGUAGAUGGAGCUUGGGGACUCUUAUGGAAGAAUAGGAGGAAGGUUUGCAUCCCCUAAGGGAUAGGAACUCUACAGGAAGACCAACAGAGUCACCUAUCCUGGACCCUUGGGGCUUUCAGAGACAGAACCACCAACUACAGAGCAUACACGGGCUGGACCUAGGCCUUCCUGCAUGUAUGUAGCAGAUGUAUAGCUUGGUUUUCAUCCCAAACAGCUGGAGUGUGGGUUAUCCCAGAAGCUGUUGCCCGUAUGUGAGAUAUGUUCUAUAAGCUGGGCUGUCUUCUCUGACCUCAGUGGGAGAGGAUGGAUCUAGCUUCACAGAGGCUUGAUGUGCUGUGUUGGGGUUGGGGGCUCAGAAGAGGAGGGGAGAUUUGUGAAAAGGGGACUGGGAGGGGGACGGUGAGCAGGACGUAAAGUGAAUAGGUAAAAUUAUAAUAAUAAUGAUAAUUUAAA
rnacentral:lncRNA from 1 species